GCUCUCUGUACCAGCAGAGGUGAUUUGCUCAUGUAUUCUAACUGACCCCAAGUCAGUGCUCGGAAUCAUGGAAGCCUUCAGUUCUUUCUCCUUGAGUUGUGCAGCCUCCCUUCUUUCAGCCUCAAGUGAGUAAGAACAUAUACCCCUCUUUGUCGCAAGCUAUCUCCAAAAGAUGACUCAUUCUCUGAGGGACACAAAUCCAAUCAUCAAUCAACCCACCCCCGCCCGCAUGCCCACGUCAAGCGAUGGCUCUCCGCAGCACCAGUCCAGUCUAAACUUGUCAUGCUCACUGCUCCGGGUUCCUCUCUCUCUCUCUCUCUCUCUCUCUCUCUCUCUCUCUCUCUCUCUCUCUCUCUCUCUCUCUCUCUCUCUCUCUCCCCCUUACUCCUACUCAGAUUCGUGCAUUUUUCGACACUUAUUUUUUCAUCUGCAGCCUGGACAAUAACCGCCCACGCUUGGUAUAGCUAGUAGCGCUACCACGCGUCACGUGUCAGAUUAGUGAAAGCAGCUUCUUUCAAUAAUUACAGCAUCGCUUACAUCGGAGUCUUAACAUUUUUCGUGUCAGAUUACACCAUAAAUAAUAAUCUGGAUUUAUUUCACAACAAACACGCUCUUAUAGGUCUAACUAUUUAUGGGUGAAUCUCUGUCCACUGCGCACUGUGAAUGCUAAGAGCGGAUUUGCUUGAUAGAUGAAAGGUCAAUUUACUCGUUUCCAAAAAUAAAAAGGACGUCACUAGACUUGUACGGCCACGGACAGGGAACAGAGCGUGUUAAAAAUAAUGUCAGCAUGCCAUCCCGAUUGCCCGUGACGUCAGAUUUAGCACGCCUCCGAAGGCGUUACCGCAAAGGAUGCGCGUCGCGAGGGACGUCACGGUGUAGCCGGAAGUGAAGGAAAUGAUGCGGUCUUGCAUCUUCAAGCUUUUAACGUUAUCUGAACCAUUUACAAAUGACUAUUGGAAAAUCAGGUGAAGAUUCAAAAAUACCCACUUUCUGACAGUUUUUAUGACCUGAAGUGGAGCUGAAACAUCAUUAAGCCUUUGGGAACUCUAUAACGAUCCUUCAUUUGCUUCAACUGUGAUGCAUAUACACCCCAACCAUGAAGGUGUUCAAGGUUGGAUCAGAACAUGGAGCUGCCUCCAGAACAGACUAGUGCAGUUGGCACCAGUGUAACAUCAACUGAACAGCACAGAUCAUCUCGUCCACUACUAGAAGAAUUGAGACUGGAAGCUUGUGACUUAAAUGGUCGGCUUUCAUAACAGGGUUGGUUGGCUGUCUUAGCUUCCAUUCUGCCCUAGCUCUGCAACAGGAAACAGAUGUAAGGUCAAAAGUCUCACCUGGGUCGGAAGCGAGGCUCAGUGACUCGCAUGCCAAGCCAUCAUUACCAAGCAAUGAAGGGAGCACCCUAUCUGCUUCAGCUGCAACCAAUUUCAGAUACUGAGUGAGGCCCGUGUGCCGAUGUAUCCCACCAGGACUUGGACACAUGACCUCUGGCUUCUAGAGAAAGCCCAUCCCAGCUAAUUUUAAUCAAGAGUCUUUGACUGAUGGCAAAGUUGGGCGGAAUCGUUCAUUAUGCACAUUGGUGCAGACAAUAUUAUUACCUGUUGUUAGGCCAUUACAUUACUUAUAAUCCUUUCAGAUGGUGAUGUUAAUUCAAAGCAGAGGUGAGGACUGAUAUGCUGCCUUUGAGGAGUAGGACAGGCCUGAAACUAUUAUUGCAGCAACUAGGCAACACUGAUUUUGAAUCAUCUUUAAUAGCUCUCAUACCAUCUUUGUUAAAAAGAGGUCCAUGUUUUUGAUGAGACCUAUAGAACUGUAUUAAAGUAUUUAAACUGUAUUUAAAGCAUUUUAUAGAUUAUUACUUAUUAAUUAUGUACAUAUUAUUAUUUUUAGAAAUAUCUUAUUAUAAAAUAUCUUAUUAGAAAUGAAUUAUUUUAAAUAUUAUUAUAUAACACAUGAGAUUUACAUAUACAGCAAGAUCAAAAUAUUUGAAAGAUGUAUGUUUUUCCAUUUGAUUUCCUUCCCAGACUCCUGUCCUUAAUUUCAGUAUGUUCUUUUUUCAAAUGAAACCAAAUUUUGCCUAAGUAUAUUCAAUGAAAGAUUUUCCACCAAAGUGCUAGCACCGAAAACUGGGCAUCAACUGAUCCUGUCUGCCCAGAUUAGAAUUUAUGUCAGACAUACAGAUCCACAGACCCCUGCCUCCUGCACUUAGGUUCUGAAACGAUAGCUGUGAAGAUAUUCUCAGAAGGAACUCUAUGAUGGACGAUGGUGCAGGCAUUUAAUCCUUUCCUUUCUUGUUAAAACAUUAAAUUUUCCUUGCGCCUUGUAGCUGUCAAAAAGAGUAAGGUAGCUGGCAGACACAGGAAGCUACAUGCAUUGAUUCAGCUUGCUGUGAUGGGGGAUGUGUGUCCAAUCACCUCAUGAAAAUGGCUUUCCCCAGUCCUUUUAUAGACAAUCACACACAGUUCAAGGAUUAUGCCAUGCAUGCAUGGCACUUGCUCUCAGUUUUGUUAAUUCUUCUUGUCAUUGUGCACUUGUUAAGUAUUUGGGUCAUUAAGCUUAAAAUGGCCUGGAACCCUCACCCUAAUAAGUUUCUCUACAUCCCCUGCACCCUCUCCAACCCCGAGACUUUGCUAUAUAUUACAGCAGCAUUCAACAUGGACAUGUUAUCCUUGUCUUACUGAUGCCAACUUCAAGUGAUAAUUAAGUAGUUUUAUGAUGGUGCCCUUAAGUGCUGAAGAAUGACAUGUUGGGGUGUCACAACUCAUUGAUAGACCACUGUAUUAUUGAUCAGUGAUGUCAAAGCCAAAAAGUUAAUAAGGUGUAAACCUUUGCUUAGUUGGUGAUGAGAUAAUGAACUUCUGAACUCUAUGGCAUCUUGGUGGAAAGUAAAUGCAUUUAGCUCCAGCAGAGAAUUAAGGGUAGUAUCUGAGGAAAAACAAAGACUGAAACCUUUUUGCAGAAUGAUAUUAAUGUAUUUGUGUACCAAAAUGUAAUACAAGAUCACAAUAAACACUUUGUG